rnacentral:rRNA from 1 species
GACGAACGCUGGCGGCGUGCUUAACACAUGCAAGUCGAACGGAAAGGCCCUGCUUUUGUGGGGUGCUCGAGUGGCGAACGGGUGAGUAACACGUGAGUAACCUGCCCUUGACUUUGGGAUAACUUCAGGAAACUGGGGCUAAUACCGGAUAGGAGCUCCUGCUGCAUGGUGGGGGUUGGAAAGUUUCGGCGGUUGGGGAUGGACUCGCGGCUUAUCAGCUUGUUGGUGGGGUAGUGGCUUACCAAGGCUUUGACGGGUAGCCGGCCUGAGAGGGUGACCGGGCAGCAUGGGACGGUGGUGCCGACCAGGCGCCAGAGGGAGGCAGGAGGUGGGGAUGGUGGACAACGGGCCGGAGUCUGAUUCCGGAACGCGGGGGGGGGGAAGAGUGGGUGCGGGUUGGAAACAGGGUUCGGAGGGGACAAAGGGUGGGGGACGGGGAGGUGGAAAAGAGGAACGGCUCAAUACGUG